UACGAAGGGGGCAAGCGUUGUUCGGAAUUACUGGGCGUAAGGGCGCGUAGGCGGCUUAUCAAGUCAGGCGUGAAAUUCCCGGGCUCAACCUGGGGGCUGCGCUUGAUACUGAUGAGCUUGAAUGCGGGAGAGGAUAGUGGAAUUCCAGGUGUAGCGGUGAAAUGCGUAGAUAUCUGGAGGAACACCGGUGGCGAAGGCGGCUUCCUGGACCGACACUGACGCUGAGGCGCGAAAGCCAGGGGAGCAAACGGG
rnacentral:rRNA from 1 species